CCGCCCGUCACGUCAUGAAAGUUGGAUACGCCUGAAGCCACUGGCCUAACUCGCAAGAGAGGGAGGUGUCGAGGGCGGAGCCAGCGAUUGGGACG
rnacentral:rRNA from 1 species